rnacentral:rRNA from 1 species
UGCUGGAGGUAUCAGAAGUGCGAAUGCUGACAUAAGUAACGAUAAAGCGGGUGAAAAGCCCGCUCGCCGGAAGACCAAGGGUUCCUGUCCAACGUUAAUCGGGGCAGGGUGAGUCGACCCCUAAGGCGAGGCCGAAAGGCGUAGUCGAUGGGAAACAGGUUAAUAUUCCUGUACUUGGUGUUACUGCGAAGGGGGGACGGAGAAGGCUAUGUUAGCCGGGCGACGGUUGUCCCGGUUUAAGCAUGUAGGCUGAUUGUCCAGGCAAAUCCGGAUAAUCAAGGCUGAGGUGUGAUGACGAGGCACUACGGUGCUGAAGUAACAAAUGCCCUGCUUCCAGGAAAAGCCUCUAAGCAUCAGGUAACAUCAAAUCGUACCCCAAACCGACACAGGUGGUCAGGUAGAGAAUACCAAGGCGCUUGAGAGAACUCGGGUGAAGGAACUAGGCAAAAUGGUGCCGUAACUUCGGGAGAAGGCACGCUGGUGUGUAGGUGAAGUCCCUGCGGAUGGAGCUGAGACCAGUCGAAGAUACCAGCUGGCUGCAACUGUUUAUUAAAAACACAGCACUGUGCAAACACGAAAGUGGACGUAUACGGUGUGACGCCUGCCCGGUGCCGGAAGGUUAAUUGAUGGGGUUAUCCGUAAGGAGAAGCUCUUGAUCGAAGCCCCGGUAAACGGCGGCCGUAACUAUAACGGUCCUAAGGUAGCGAAAUUCCUUGUCGGGUAAGUUCCGACCUGCACGAAUGGCGUAAUGAUGGCCAGGCUGUCUCCACCCGAGACUCAGUGAAAUUGAACUCGCUGUGAAGAUGCAGUGUACCCGCGGCAAGACGGAAAGACCCCGUGAACCUUUACUAUAGCUUGACACUGAACAUUGAGCCUUGAUGUGUAGGAUAGGUGGGAGGCUUUGAAGCGUGGACGCCAGUCUGCGUGGAGCCAACCUUGAAAUACCACCCUUUAAUGUUUGAUGUUCUAACGUUGGCCCCUGACCGGGGUUGCGGACAGUGUCUGGUGGGUAGUUUGACUGGGGCGGUCUCCUCCCAAAGCGUAACGGAGGAGCACGAAGGUUAGCUAAUCCUGGUCGGACAUCAGGAGGUUAGUGCAAUGGCAUAAGCUAGCUUGACUGCGAGCGUGACGGCGCGAGCAGGUGCGAAAGCAGGUCAUAGUGAUCCGGUGGUUCUGAAUGGAAGGGCCAUCGCUCAACGGAUAAAAGGUACUCCGGGGAUAACAGGCUGAUACCGCCCAAGAGUUCAUAUCGACGGCGGUGUUUGGCACCUCGAUGUCGGCUCAUCACAUCCUGGGGCUGAAGUAGGUCCCAAGGGUAUGGCUGUUCGCCAUUUAAAGUGGUACGCGAGCUGGGUUUAGAACGUCGUGAGACAGUUCGGUCCCUAUCUGCCGUGGGCGCUGGAGAAUUGAGGGGGGCUGCUCCUAGUACGAGAGGACCGGAGUGGACGCAUCACUGGUGUUCGGGUUGUCAUGCCAAUGGCACUGCCCGGUAGCUAAAUGCGGAAGAGAUAAGUGCUGAAAGCAUCUAAGCACGAAACUUGCCCCGAGAUGAGUUCUCCCUGAGACUAUAAGUCUCCUGAAGGAACGUUAAAGACGAUGACGUUGAUAGGCCGGGUGUGUAAGCGCAGCGAUGCGUUGAGCUAACCGGUACUAAUGAACCGUGAGGCUUAACCUU